GAUGAACGCUAGCUACAGGCUUAACACAUGCAAGUCGAGGGGCAGCAUGACCUAGCAAUAGGUUGAUGGCGACCGGCGCACGGGUGAGUAACACGUAUCCAACCUGCCGAUUAUUCCGGGAUAGCCUUUCGAAAGAAAGAUUAAUACUGGAUAGCAUAACGAGAAGGCAUCUUCUUGUUAUUAAAGAAUUUCGAUAAUCGAUGGGGAUGCGUUCCAUUAGUUUGUUGGCGGGGUAACGGCCCACCAAGACAUCGAUGGAUAGGGGUUCUGAGAGGAAGGGCCCCCCCCUUGGAACCGGGGCCCCGUCCAAACUCCUUCGGGAGGCAGCCGUUAGGAAUAUUUGGCAAUGGACGAGAGUCUGAACCAGCCAAGUAGCGUGAAGGAUGACUGCCCUAUGGGUUGUAAACUUCUUUUAUAUGGGAAUAAAGUGGGCCACGUGUGGCUUUUUGUAUGUACCAUACGAAUAAGGAUCGGCUAACUCCGUG
rnacentral:rRNA from 1 species